CGAAGCGUGCGAUUGGAUUGCACGUCUAAGCAGUAAGGCUGAGUAUUAGGCAAAUCCGGUACUCGUUAAGGCUGAGCUGUGAUGGGGAGAAGACAUUGUGUCUUCGAGUCGUUGAUUUCACACUGCCGAGAAAAGCCUCUAGAUAGAAAAUAGGUGCCCGUACCGCAAACCGACACAGGUAGUCAAGAUGAGAAUUCUAAGGUGAGCGAGCGAACUCUCGUUAAGGAACUCGGCAAAAUGACCCCGUAACUUCGGGAGAAGGGGUGCUCUUUAGGGUUAACGCCCAGAAGAGCCGCAGUGAAUAGGCCCAAGCGACUGUUUAUCAAAAACACAGGUCUCUGCUAAACCGUAAGGUGAUGUAUAGGGGCUGACGCCUGCCCGGUGCUGGAAGGUUAAGAGGAGUGGUUAGCUUCUGCGAAGCUACGAAUCGAAGCCCCAGUAAACGGCGGCCGUAACUAUAACGGUCCUAAGGUAGCGAAAUUCCUUGUCGGGUAAGUUCCGACCCGCACGAAAGGCGUAACGAUUUGGGCACUGUCUCAACGAGAGACUCGGUGAAAUCAUAGUACCUGUGAAGAUGCAGGUUACCCGCGACAGGACGGAAAGACCCCGUGGAGCUUUACUGUAGCCUGAUAUUGAAAUUCGGCACAGCUUGUACAGGAUAGGUAGGAGCCUUUGAAACGUGAGCGCUAGCUUACGUGGAGGCGCUGGUGGGAUACUACCCUAGCUGUGUUGGCUUUCUAACCCGCACCACUUAUCGUGGUGGGAGACAGUGUCAGGCGGGCAGUUUGACUGGGGCGGUCGCCUCCUAAAAGGUAACGGAGGCGCUCAAAGGUUCCCUCAGAAUGGUUGGAAAUCAUUCAUAGAGUGUAAAGGCAUAAGGGAGCUUGACUGCGAGACCUACAAGUCGAGCAGGGUCGAAAGACGGACUUAGUGAUCCGGUGGUUCCGCAUGGAAGGGCCAUCGCUCAACGGAUAAAAGCUACCCCGGGGAUAACAGGCUUAUCUCCCCCAAGAGUUCACAUCGACGGGGAGGUUUGGCACCUCGAUGUCGGCUCAUCGCAUCCUGGGGCUGUAGUCGGUCCCAAGGGUUGGGCUGUUCGCCCAUUAAAGCGGUACGCGAGCUGGGUUCAGAACGUCGUGAGACAGUUCGGUCCCUAUCCGUCGUGGGCGUAGGAAAUUUGAGAGGAGCUGUCCUUAGUACGAGAGGACCGGGAUGGACAUACCUCUGGUGUACCAGUUGUCGUGCCAACGGCAUAGCUGGGUAGCUAUGUGUGGACGGGAUAAGUGCUGAAAGCAUCUAAGCAUGAAGCCCCCCUCAAGAUGAGAUUUCCCAACUUCGGUUAUAAGAUCCCUCAA
rnacentral:rRNA from 1 species